GCUUGUCUCAAAGAUUAAGCCAUGCACGUCUAAGUAUAAGCGAUUAUACUGUGAAACUGCGAAUGGCUCAUUAUAUCAGUUAUAGUUUAUUUGAUGGUCCUUGCUACUUGGAUAACCGUAGUAAUUCUAGAGCUAAUACAUGCAUAAAUCCCCGACUGCUUGGAAGGGGUGUAUUUAUUAGAUACAAAACCAAUGCGGGGCAACCCGGUAUAAGGUGAUUCAUAAUAACUUUGCGAAUCGCAUGGCCUUGUGCCGGCGAUGAAUCAUUCAAAUUUCUGCCCUAUCAACUUUCGAUGGUAAGGUAUUGGCUUACCAUGGUCGCAACGGGUAACGGGGAAUAAGGGUUCGAUUCCGGAGAGGGAGCCUGAGAAAUGGCUACCACAUCCAAGGAAGGCAGCAGG
rnacentral:rRNA from 1 species